GGGGCUGGCCUGCACGUUAGAAUUAUUUAUUAAGAGCUUUUAUACCUAAAGGUAGGCACUUCAUAAAAUUUGGGUUUUGGCAAAAGGCGUUGGUUUGAUGUCAAUAUCUUAACCUUUCCAUUAACUGUAUUACUUUUUCAAGGGAGGAGAUUAUCAAAAUAUUAUGAAAGAGAAACAUAAAUUUGUCUA